GUAGGUGAACCUGCGGAAGGAUCAUUAAUGAAAGUCUGGGCUUCGGCCCUCUCUCUUCUACACACUUGUGAAUCUACACUGUUGCUUUGGCAGGUAUCCUGAAUGGCGCAAGCUUGAAAGGUUAAACUGAAAGGUGCCUGCCAAAGACAUUUAUCCACCCUUUUUAUAUCGUCUGAUUUUUGUUUAAAACAAAUUAUAAUAAAACUUUCAACAAUGGAUCUCUUGGCUCUG
rnacentral:misc_RNA from 1 species